UGGCGAACGGGUGAGUAACACGUGGGUAACCUGCCCAUCAGAAGGGGAUAACACUUGGAAACAGGUGCUAAUACCGUAUAACACUAUUUUCCGCAUGGAAGAAAGUUGAAAGGCGCUUUUGCGUCACUGAUGGAUGGACCCGCGGUGCAUUAGCUAGUUGGUGAGGUAACGGCUCACCAAGGCAACGAUGCAUAGCCGACCUGAGAGGGUGGUCGGCCACACUGGGACUGAGACACGGCCCAGACUCCUACGGGAGGCAGCAGUAGGGAAUCUUCGGCAAUGGACGAAAGUCUGACCGAGCAACGCCGCGUGAGUGAAGAAGGUUUUCGGAUCGUAAAACUCUGUUGUUAGAGAAGAACAAGGAUGAGAGUAAAACGUUCAUCC
rnacentral:rRNA from 1 species